rnacentral:lncRNA from 1 species
CGAAAAUUUGCGUCAUGUUAUUCAUCAAAUGGGAGAGGACAUGGAGGAUUUGACGAAACAGUUAAAGAUUGAAGUAAGGAUAAUGUUCAUAUAAGAGGUCUGGUGGCACAGCUGAACAGCACAAUCGGUAGUUUACGCCAAGAGAAAUUAGAUCUUACAUCUCAAUUGGGAAAAUGUAAAGCAAUUAUCGUUCAUCUUCAAUGUUUACUUCAUCAUUCUUCAGAAGAGGUUCGUCAGAAGCAACUAAACAUAUCAACUUCACUAUCAGUUGACAACAGGGAAUCGUCGGGCCAACGAAGAAAUGGAUGCUUUGAAGCAGCAGAACUCUGAUGUCAAGCUGCAGGUAACCCAAAAAAGACACCAGGCUGACGAAUUUUACAAAACGGGUUUGGAGAGAAAUA